GCCCUGGUAGCUUAACGGUAGAGCACCCGCCUUGUAAGCGGGGGGUUGAGGGUUCGAAUCCCUCCCAGGGCU
rnacentral:tRNA from 1 species